GACCCUAUAACUCAGUCGGUUAGAGUGUGGAGCUAAUACGAAGUGUUACUCCAAAGUCGCCAGUUCGAGCCUGGUUAGGGUCA
rnacentral:tRNA from 1 species